rnacentral:lncRNA from 1 species
AAAAAAAAAAAAAAAAAGAAUAUGUAAGGGUACGUGAUUUAAGAAUAAGAAUAAGAUGGAAAAUAACUAUCCUUACAAAUACAUAAUUUGACAGUUCUUUAAGGUGUACGUGGCAAUUUUUCAGGCUUCCACGUCUAUCUGCACUUUUUUACUUUCAAAUGGAGGAUCUUAGUCUAAAUGGAGGAUCUUGGUCAAGAUAUAGUUCCUUCCCAAGGUUGUCCUUCCCAAGAUAUAGUUCCUUCUCAAGGUUGUCCUUCCCAAGGUUUGACGAAGAAAUUUUCAAAGUUGCAUCAAUAUCCCCUUCUCUCUCUUUCCAAACAGCAAAAUAAAAAUAAUUACAAAUACAUAAUUUGACAGUUCUUUAAGGUGUACGUGGCAAUUUUUCAGGCUUCCACGUCUAUCUGCACUUUUUUACUUUCAAAUGGAGGAUCUUAGUCUAAAUGGAGGAUCUUGGUCAAGAUAUAGUUCCUUCCCAAGGUUGUCCUUCCCAAGAUAUAGUUCCUUCUCAAGGUUGUCCUUCCCAAGGUUUGACGAAGAAAUUUUCAAAGUUGCAUCAAUAUCCCCUUCUCUCUCUUUCCAAACAGCAAAAUAAAAAUAAUAAAUAUAUAUAUAAAGAGAGAGAAUGAAAGGGAGAGAGAUCCAAGAUCUCUUUUAACAGAGAGAAAAAAAGAGAGGUAAAGAAAGAGGGGUCAUCCACAUCUUCGAUUUGCAAAACAAAAUAAAAAAAAAUAAGAGAGCAAAAGAAAGAGCAAAAGAAGGUAGAAGAAAAAAAGUUAAAAAUAAAUAGAGAGGAUCAAACAGAGAAUCGGCGAACAAUGCUGCAGGAGGAGAGUUAAAAAUAAAUAGGGAGGAUCGCACAGAGAAUCGGCGAACAACGCUGCAGGAAGGGAGGUCUUCCAUAUUGCAAGGGAGUAUCGUACAGAGAAUCGGCGAACAAUGCUGCAGGAAAGGAGGUCUUCCAUAUCGCACACAAUCCACAGUUUGCUUGCUUAAAAAAAAAAAAUGAGAGAUAGAAUAAAGAGAAUGUAGAAGAAAGGUAGAGGGUACCAGAGAAACAAAGUAGAUAAGGAUUAAACAAAAAAAAGAAGAAUAUAUAUAAAAAAUAAAAUUAAAAAAAAAAGAAAGAAGAAGAACUGUGCUCCUCCUCCUCCCUUCCCUGUCCGUUGACGUACUCGCUGCAUCCACCGCGUCCGCCGCCACGUUGCCCAUCGCCGUCGCUGCCCGAGGCCGCAUCCACCGCAUCUGCCACCGCCGCUACCGCAUCUACCGCCGCUGCUGCCCCGACUAUUGUCGACGACGCCCAACGCCGCCCGCUGCCGCAUCCACCACGUCCGCUGCCGCAUCCACCGUCGACGACGCCCAACGCCGCCCGGAGUCAGCCCAACCCGGCGCUGUCCGCUGCCGUACCCGCCGACGUCGCCCAACUCUGCUGAAGCCGCCGUUGCCACAGCAUCCACCGCCCAAGUUGCCCGACGGCGCCCGAGCCGCAUCCGCUGCCAUCGCCGCCCGAGCUACUAAGCCCAAGCCCAAUGCCAAUCGAACCGCCGCCGCCUGCACCAUCAACACCAUCUUGCCUGUUGCCAUUGCCGCUGAAGCCGAGGUCGCAACCUCUCAAGUGAUUUGGUUGCUUCGGGAGCAAGAAAAAGGCAUUAAAGGAAAAGGGAUUAAAGGAAAAGGGAUGGAGUGUUGUUUUCUUUGCUUACUCUAAAGUGUACCCUAUAAAUUUUUUCAUGACAUUUUGAGUUAGAUUAAAAAAAUGAUGAGACUUACCUAUUGUUAAAAGAGGAAAAGAGAGAGGGGUCAUCCAUAUCUUUUUUUGCAAAACAAAAAAAAAAGAAAAAAAGCAAAGAGAAGGUAGGAGAAAAAGAGUUAAAAAUAAAUAAAUAAAUAAAUAAAUAGUAUAUAUAUAUAUAGAAAUAAACUCUCUUUAUAUAUAUAUAUAUAUAGAAUAAACUCUCUUUUUCUGUUCGCCACGUUUUCAUCUUACCAAAAAAUAAUUUAUUAAAAAAAUAAAUUUUUUCACCUUUUUAAGAGAAAAUUUAUCUCUUUGCAUUUUUUUUCUCUCCCAUCAAAAUUUUUUUUUAUUUUUUUAUCUUCCCAAAAAAUAAUAUAUUAAAAAAUAAUUUUUUUACCUUUUCAAGAGAUAAUCAAAGCUUCAAAAGCUAAGCUUCUAUCUCCAUUCCUUAGUUUUGAUCUCAUAUAAUUUUGAAGUUGGUUUUCAUGAACAAAAGAGUAAUGUUUUGAGUUUUGAAUUUUGAGUUAGCAACUAUUUUAAUAUUGAGAAGUUAACAUUUUUUUAUUAUAUUUUUAUUUUUUAAAAAUAAAUUUUAAAUUUAAAGUAAUUAUAUAUUAAUUUAUUAAAAUUUUAUUUAUCCACAGCGAAGCGCGGGUUUUAUACUAGUAUGGAAUAAUAAGAGACAUUAUUCUUAACAGUGAGCAAGAGAAACAAUUGAGGCCAUUAUGUAGAAUAUCAAAAUGUACGCAAAUUCCCAUGAAAUGUUUGUUUUUAAUGUUGAAAUGUAUCCUAUGACUGCCUUAUCCCUGAAUGUUUUUAAUGUUGAAUUAUUUUUUCUUUUUCCUGUUUUGGUCUCCUAUGAUCAACAAAAAAAAAAAAAAAAAAAAAAAAAAAAAAAAAAAAAAAAAAAAAAAAAAAAAAAGGUGCAUCACUUUUUUUUUCGCUUUCUUGAGAUGAUUUUGUUACUAUUUCUUGUGCCAUCAUUGACAGUAUUGUACAAAAUUAAGCUCCAAUAAUUUUUUCAUUUGUACAGAAUAAAAUAAGCAGAAGAAACAAGCAACUAUCAAUUUACAAGCCGGAUACAAAAUGCGCCUUCUAGAAUCGAUUGCACUAAACUACCAAAUCUGUCUUUUGUCAUUUUGUAGUUCAGGGUUUCAUUAUAGUAAACUAACAAAGUUUUACAGUGAAAUAAUGGGUAAACUUCAAAUACCCCUCUUGUUUCACACUUUUUCACUUUAGUAUCAUGUGCUUUAAAGUGUAUCAAAUUAGCCAUGUGGCUUUUGCACUUUUUCACUUUAAUACCCCGUGGUUUAAAGUGUAUCAAGUUAGUACUCUGUGGUUUCUUUUUUCUCUUUUUAUUAUCCAUUUAAAAAAAAAAAUUGGUUAAAUCAGUGACAAAGUUAAAACUAAAGGGUACUAAAGUGAAUAUUCGAUAAACCUAGAAAGUGUAUCUGAAUAUUUUUGUAUAUAAUUUAACAAAAUAUUAACGGAGGAAAAAAAAAUCAGUGACAAAGUUAAAACUAAAAGGUACUAAAAGUGAAUAUUCGAUAAAUCUAGGUAGGGUAUCUGGAGUUUUUUGUAUAUAAUUUAAUGAAAUAUUAAUAGAAGAGCCGGUGAAAAGAGAAAAAUGAAACCAGAGAGUACUAAACUGAUGCACUUUAAACUAUAGGAUACUAAAGUGAGAAAGUGUGAAACCACGGGGUAUUAAAUUGAUACACUUUAAACCACAGGGUACUAAAGUGAAAAAAUACGAAACUAUAGUGGUGAUAUUUGAAGUUUUUUCUAAAAUAAAAUUGAAAUCACGUAAAAUUAAAAUACAACUUUUUAAAUCAUAAAGAAUACAAAUAAAGUGCAUGCUGCUAAAACCAGAGGAGUCUGAUAUAAUGUUUUAUCCAAAUUGAAAAAAAUAGAAGUUUAGAAAGAAAAGUGAAAAAUAUUUAAGGAGAUAUAUAGAUAUAUACUAAUAUAUUUAUAUAUUAAUAAUAUAUAUAUAUAUAUAUAAUAUAUAAUAUAUAUAUAUAUCAAACUGAUGUUCCUACUGCGAUUUAAUAAAUCGAUAAUUAACAUAAAAUUCACGAAUUUUAAAGCAACGAUAGAUUGUGGGGAGGCUUCUAUACAUAUUUUCCCUCCAGUUAAUUAACUCGGCGCCAACUCCUUAAUUAAAGCUAUAAAUAAGGAUAUGAGUAAGAAGAAUAAGUUGAUCGAUCGAGGAAUAGCCAAGGGAGAGAGUAUAUAGGUAGGUAUAGCCGAGGGAGAGAAUAGUUCUUGAUCAACAGAGAUCAACAACAGGAUCGGAGAACAAGAUGCCGACACCAACGCCGGGGCUCAUCAGAGCGCUGGUCUUCCUCGGCGGAGUGCUGGCCGUCGCGUUUGUCGGAGCGGCCCUCAACGCCCGACAAGCUAGAGAAGAGCCCCCCAGCGGCGGCAGCAGCGACAGCACCGGCGACAACAGCACGAGGAAUGAGACGCAGCGGCGACCACCGCUGCAGCCGGCUCCUCCUCCCCACACCGUCGAGAGAGAGAACCCUUUGUAAUUAAUCAAUCUCCUGCGUUUCUUUUCUUAGUACUCAUUAAUCGUAAACUUUACGUUCAUAUAUGAGUCCUCUUUUUUCCUGGUAAUUAACAUUGGUGCAUGGUGCAAUUCGGUGUGCUUGUAGUGGAGGUUUGAGAGAUUUAGAAGAUGCUCGUUUUGAAGGAGGAAGAGAAAAUGGAGGUGGAGGAGGAGAGGAGGGGACGAAGCACAUGAUGGAUCUGAUGGUGAUGUUGGCGAUGCAGGUGAUUAUAAUGGUGAUGAUGAUGUUGCGGAUUGGAUCAGAGACUAACAUUUCUACUCUUCUUGAAUUGUCUCUAAGUGUUGGGUUCAUUUUAUUCUACGUCUUUAGGAUCUUGUGACUUUUGAGAUUGUUUCAUGGCUUCUGUUAAGGAUCUUGAUUCCCCCUAAAAGGAAGAACUUGAAUGGUGAGCACCCCAUUAUUCCUUAUUGGGCACGCUCUCUCUCUCUCUCUCUCUCUCUCUCUCAAAAUCUCUCUUGAUUUUUUUGGGUAGAGAUUGUAUCAAGAUCAUUCACAGGUUUCAUGGCAAUUUAGUUAGGAUCAAUUUGAUUGAUGUACUCACAUAUAGUAUCAAUUCAAUUGGUGAACCAAGAUCUUUUGUUGCUCCUUUUGUGUUCUUCUACUGCUUUACUUUUUUCUUAUGUUAUCUCUCUUUCUAGAUUCAAGUGGGCAUGAUUCAUUUAAUUGUCCUCGCCACAUAACAUCAUUAGUUGUUUCCAAGUCACCCAAUCAAUCUGUUGAUUAAAAAAGUGAAAACUGAGUCCUACUAUUAAAAAUAAUAUUAUUAUUGGAGCUUGUUCAUUUUAUCUUCAUAAAGAAAUUACUUUUAAACAUUAAUAUUAUUGCUAAAAAUUAAAUAUAAUAACUGUUAGCCAAUAUUUUUAUCCUCAAGUGUGACUUUUGUAAUCAAGAAGAGUUACCUAAAUAGCUAGCUAGCAUUGGUCCUUCCCUUUUUGUUUUCUAACUAUUUGGCUCAUGUUAAUUGCGCUGAAUUAACGGAAUAAAAAUCUAACCAAUUAAUUACAAAAAAUUAAAAGAAUGAGCAGUAAAUAUAAACUUUUUAAAAUUUAUACAAUUAUCUACAAAUGGGCCAAAGUUCUUUUCUUUUUAUGUAUACAUUUUCCAUUGGUCACAAAUUUUAUUAUCGAUGACAAUAUCCAUAAUAGGAGUAUCAGAAAUGACUCACUACUUAAUGUUAAACUUUAUAAAAAAUUAAGAUCGUAUCUUCUGUUAUAAUUUCGAUUUAUAUACCUGAAUUGUAGACGACGAUUCUUUUUCUUGAUUCGUCAUCGUUCACGAUCUGCAAAAGAGUGGAACAUUUCAACUCUAAUUCCCUUAUCUCCGGAAAUAGAGUCAUCACAGGAAUUAGGAUUAGAGAUAGACCGGGACUUCCGUAUGAUACAUAUUUAUAUAUAACUUGAUGUAAGUAUGUUAAAUCAUGUCCGUCCAUCAAAAACGUGUCCAGAUACAUCCUAACUGUUUGAUCUACCAUAUAGACCGACUGUAUCGAAUAAAUCACAUGGGCCACAUCUAACAUUUUCCUAUUUGGUCUGGUGAAAUAUUCAUUACCAUAUAGGUGAUACAAGACUUUAUUAGGUACCAACUAAAUUAUACAGUCAAAAUCUCCCACUUGACCAAAAAAUCAUAAUACUUUGAUCAUACCAAUUAUAUUCUAAAAAACGAAACACCCCCUUCCAUGUAUCAAAAACACGUUGUCACGUCCCGAGGUCCUUUUUUGGCUAAGAAGAAUAGCGGAAGUGCUUUUUUUUUUUUUGAAACCUUGACCAUAGGGAAUGACAAACCCACCACAAGUAGAAGGAAUCCACUGUUUACGCGAACAAAAUCUCUCCUGUAUGUACACGGCGUCGCACAAGUACAAGUUACAACCACAAGUUAUUUACCAACCAUGAAUACAUUCACCACAUCACAUAAUCACGAAUUACAUUCAUAAAUCCACAUUUAUCAUUUAGAAUCAUUUCCCACCCAGAAACUCAUUUCAAAAUACUAAAAUUACAAAAGUAAAAAUCCUUUUUAAAAUUACUUUUCACACAAAAACUUUUUCUUUUAAAAGUAAGCUACCAAGGGGAGUAGAAAAUUAUUUUUGCAAAUCCAUAUUAAAAUCACAACUCUGUUCAUAUUGAAAGCCGUAUCAUGAAAGGAAUAAAGUUAAAUUAAGUUAAAUAACGUUAAACUGAACCGCAAUUAUUCAAUCUAUUAUUCAAAUAAAAGGGAUAAGACUAAACCAAUAGUAAUCCGGCCGGGGAAGCCUACUCUCGCUAGAUACGUGCCUCACGGCUCGUCCCGACUCGGACCUCUAAUGUCACCCGAUCCCAGCUUGUGUUCGACUCGUUUAUUAAACGAGCUGAAAAAUUCAGCUCGCGUUCGGCUCAUUUACUAAACAAGCGAUUCGAUCUCGAGCUCCGAUUCAAUCUCGAGCUCAUUUCAAUCCGAACACGAGCAAGCUCGCGAACAGUGAGCUGGAUUGCCACCCCUACCACAGGAUACUAAAAUAAAAAUUUCAUAAACCACAUGGUAUUAAAUUAAAUCUUCAAUAAACCUCAGGGGGUAUCUAAAGUUUUUUUUAUAUGUUUUAACUGAGAGUCAACGGAAAUACUGAUGGAAAAAGAAAAAUAAAAGCACAUAGUACUAAAGCGCUAAACCACAAAGUUUUCCCAUAAAAAUAUAGGAGCAACGCUACACCCUUUUUUGGGUAUACUGUUAGAACAAAUACCGCAACGAAAAUCUAAUUGUGAUUUAAAUCUAACUAAAUAUUAUUAUGAAAAUAAAUAAAUACAAACUUACAGAUAAACGCAAAUCCAAAUAAAUAUUUAAUUGAUCCGGAAACGUGCGAGGCACUGCCCUAAGGCGUAUUCCCGUCCUUACGUGCGGGAUUAACCGGAAACACCGCCCCAAGGUACGACCGGAAUUCCUCCUACUGCGAGCACGAUCGUGAGGGAGGUUGACGAAGACUCUUUCAACACCCGAUGAUAAAAUGAUCAAAGCCAAAUAGAUAAAAAUAAUAGAUAGAAAAAUAUAUGUCCUCUAAUAUUUCUCUUUGCAAAGUUCAUAUCAUGAACAAUAGAAAGAGUACUAUAUAAAAGGGUGUGAAUAGAACAUUGGAUACCCAACAUUCUACUCCAAUAAUUAAUUCCAUUUAAUUCAUGCUUUAACGUGAAAUAAAGGAGGAAUAAAUUAAAUUUAAUCCAUCCAAUUAAUUAACAUAAUAAAAGACAAUAAAUGAGAAUAAUUAUAAAACUAAAUGAGAUUUGGAGAUUUUGGAUUUUACACCAACAUAUACAAGAAGCAUUUUCCAAAAUAUAUAGGGGUACAUAGAUUAAGAAUAAGAAUAAGGCGCGAAAUAACUAUGAGGAAUAAUAAGAGACUUCUUAACAGUGAGCAAGAGGAGACAAUUGAGGCCAUCAUGUAGAAUAACUUAAAAAUGUGAACAGAUUCCCAUGAAAUGUGUGUUUUAUUGUUGAUAUAUGUAUUUUCUUUUUCCCUUGUUCUGGCCUCGUAUGAUUAUUUUAUCCCUGAUUGUUUUUAAUUUUGAAAAAUAAUUCCUCUUUUGGUCUCCUAUAAUUACCUUAUACCUAAAAAAAUCUGAAAUUAAAAAUAUAAUUAAAAAUUUUAAUUUAAUCAUUAAAUAUUUGAAUUAUGUAUAUACUUAUUUUUCAUUUUCUUGAGAUGAUUUGGUGAGUGUUCCGCGCGCGCCAAUGUUCUUCCCUAAGUAUUUUACUGUAAUAACUUCUUUAAGAAAAGAAAACAAAGCGGCUGCCAACUUGCAAAUCGCAUAAAUGCAGCUUCUAGAAUCGAUCGCACGGAGCUAACAAAUGCUACUUUGUAUUAAAAUAAAACUAAAAUUACAAAAAAAGUAAACUCCAAUUUUUUAAACCAGAAAAAAGUAUAUAAAUAAAUGCCCCUAAACUAAAAGGGGCGGGGUAUGAUUGAAGUAUUAUCCUAAUUAAAAAAAUAAUUAAUAAGAAAAGUAAAAAUAAGGAGGUUAUGUAUCUCAAACUGAUGUGCUAUUUCGAUUUAAUCAAAUCGAUAUUUAAAUUAAAAUGCACGAAUGUUAAAGCAAGCAACAAUAGAUCUUCCAUACAGAUUUUUGCUCCAACUAACUUUGGCGCCAACUCCCACAUAUGAAGAAACGCGCAGCUAUAGCUAUAAAUAAGGAUAUAUAGGAGUAAGAAGAAUAAGUCGAUUGAGCGAGGAAUAGCCAAGGAUCAGAGAAUCGGAAUAGCCAAGGGAGAGAAUAGUUCUUGAUCAACAACAGGAGAAGAAGAUGCCAAUGCCGACGGCGGGGCUCAUCGGAGUGUUGGCCUUCCUCAGCGGUGCGCUGGCCAUUGCGUUGGUCGCGCCGUUCGUCAAUGCCCGACAAGCUAGAGAAGAGCUCCGCGGCGGCGGCGGCGGCAACAGCACCGGCGAUAACGGCACAAGGAAUGAGACGCAGAGGCGACCACCACUGCGGCCGCCUACUCCUCCCCCCUCCUUCUCGAGAGAGAACCCUUCGUAAUUAAUCAAUCCCUGCGUUUCUUUUCUUCUUAGUACUAAUUAAUCAUAAACUUUAGGUACUUAUGUGAGUCCUCUUUUAUAUUGGUAAUUAACAUUGGUGCAUGGUGCAAUUAAUUCGGUGUACUUGUAGUGGGGGUUUGAGAGAUUUAGAAGAAGCCCGUGUUGAAGAAGGAGGUGAAGGAGGUGGAGGAGGAGAGGAGGCCAGGAAGAACAUGAUGAUUCUGAUUGUGAUGUUGGCGAUACGGGUGAUGAUUACAGUGAUGAUGAUGUUCAAGAUUGGAUCAGAGACCAACAUUACUGCUCUUCUUAAUUUGUUUCUAACUUUUGGUAUCAUUUUAUACUUUUUCUUUAGGAUCUGUCGAAUUUUGAGAUAGUUUCUUAAGGAUCUUGAUCUCCCGCAAGAGGAAAAAACUUGAACAAGAGCGCCUCAUUAUUCCUUACUGGGCGCGCGCUCUCUCUCUCUCUCUCUCUCUCUCUCUCUGGCUUUCUUUUUUGUGGUGGAAAUUGUAUCAAAGGACAAUCAAAUGUUUCAUUGCAAUUAGGUAGUAUCAGUCUAAUUGAUGUACUCAUGUUUGCUAAGUUGCGUUUGUUACUCUCUUUGUUCUCUCUCUCUCGCUCUCUCUCUCUCUCUCUCUCUCUCUCUCUCUCUCUCUCUCUCUGUGUGUGUGUGUGUGUGUGUGUGUGUGUGUGUGUGUGGGUGGGUGUUUGCAUGUUAAUUUUGGUAGAAAGUGUACUGAAGAGCAUUCUAAGGUUAAUUUAAUGCAUGGAAAUUAAGUAGUUAGCAGUAUUAAUCCAACGUGAUCAUACGAACGCUAAAUUCUUUUGCUUCUACGCUUUAGGACUUGUUUGUCCUUCUUGCAUGUGUACUACUAAAUAAAGUGCAUAUAUAGGAGAUUGUAUUUCUUAUUAAAUGUCAAAUUAGAAUUCUAAUUCUUUUAUAAUAUAAGAGAUUUUUUAAGAAGUUAUUGGUUUAAACUUUUAUAUAACUUGCUGUUAAUUUGAGUUGAUUCUAAGUUCUUGUCCUUUCUUGAGGUUUUACAUUCAAUUUUCACAUUUAUUAUUUAAUCGCAUAAUUUUUUUCGGUCGCUCUUAUGUUAAUUACCUCUUAAUUACCUCUCUUGUAGAUUCACAAGACAUGGUUCUUUUAGUUAUCUUCACCACACAAUAUGAUAAUUUGUUUCUUAACUAUCAAAUUAAUAAUUUGGAUACAUAACAUAGUUGGUACUGCUUUUAAAUGUGAUUCCACAUUCAAUAUUUUUAUCCACAAGAACUUUUUGCAAUCACAAACAUUCAUCCAUAUGUUUACGAUGUAUCGAUCCUUUAUUGUUACCUUCUAACUAUAUGGCUUAUGCUAGGCUGUAAUUGAUGGAAUGUAAAUCUAGUACGAUUAAUUGUAAAAAAUUGAAAGUUCGAAUGAGAAAAUUUUUAAGUUUAGAUAAUAUUUGUACAUGGACAAAAAUUCAAAUUAUUCUACUGUAUUCAACCCAAAAUUUACAUUUGUUAAAAUUUUAUUGUCGAUAACACGGCUCAGAUAGCAACAGAUGUAGAAGUGGGAUUCAACAGUUAAGUAUAAUUAUAUAUUCUAGAUCAAACUAGGUCAUUUCUUCAUCUUUAUGGUAGUUCAAAGUAGGGGUGGUAAUCCAGCUCGAUUUUCACGAGCCGGUUCAUCCUCGGCUUAAAAUGAGCCCAAGUUCGAAUCGCUCGUUUAGUAAACGACCUGAGCACGAGCUGAAAUUUUUAUCUCAUUUAAUAAAUGAGCUAAGCACGAGAUAGGGUCAGCUCGUUCAUAUUCGGCUCGACAAUAGUUCGAAUACAUAUAUUUUAUAUGUAUAUUUAUAGAUAAAUAAUUAUAUAUGUAUAUAAUAUAAAUUUUUAUUAUUUAAGUUUUAACCCAACUUAAAUAUAAAGCACAACUCAAUUAUAAAAUAAUUUAUUUUUAUGUAAAAUUUCAACAAUUAGAUCAAAGUAUAACGGAUAAGAUCUUCUUAAUUUAUUUUCUAUAUAUAUUCAUUUUAAUCUUUUUAAUUUUUUAUUCAUAAUACAGCGCGUAUUCGGCUCGUGCUCGAUCGGUUCAUUAAUAAAUAAGCCAAACACGAGCCAAAUUUUUUGCUUGAUACUUUAAUGAGCUAGCUCGUGUUCGACUAAUUUAUGAAAUGAGCCGAACACGAGCCGACCAAGCUCGCUCGUGUUUGACUCGUUGACACCCAUAGUCCAAAGAGAUGUUUGAUGGUAGGCUAAGUAAGAAAAAAAAAAAAUACAAUGUUCAAGCGAAAAAUUCUUAACUAUAUUGCAACUUGGAGAUGCACAAAGUGUUAAUAUAUUUUAUUUUUUUAUUAGAUUAUUAAACGUAGUUUUUUCUCAUUCUAUUCUAUACACUAUAUGGUUAAAUUGAAAAAUGCCUUUUAAUGAUGGUUAAUUGGCUUGGACCGAUGCAAACUAAUUGACUAUAACUGUCUCAACUAAUUACCAGAAAAUCAAUGCACUCCAAAAAAGGUUAAAUCUGGAGGUGGACCCCCAUUAUCUCGCAACUAACACCACUUUCAUGCACGUAUUGCUGACGUGGUAGGCCUAGUCCACUCAACAAUAAUGAGUAGGUACGUAAUCACUAUAUUAACUACCUAAUAUAACUACCUAUAAAUAAGAAUAUAUAGGAGUGCUUGGUUUAAGAAUAAGAAAAAGAUGGGAAAAUGUAUUCUCGUUUUCCCUUGUUUUGGACUCCUAUAAUUGAUUAUCUUAUCUCUGAAUGUUUUUUAUUUUUGUAAAAAAAAAUUUCCUGUUUUGUUCUCCUAUAAUUAUCUUAUUCUUCAAAAAUCUAAAACUUAAAAUAUAAUUAAAAAAAUUAAUUUAAUCAUCAAUAUUGAAUUUUAUAUAUAUAUAUAUAUAAUUAGACUGGAAUACUAUUAAUAGUAAAACGUUCUUUUGCUAUCAAGUUUUUAACCCUUGGAUGAAAAAUUGUAGGGUCAGGAUGAUAUUAGUCGGUUAGAGUUGAGUGGUCCCCCUAGGGUUGAGUGGUCCCCACUGGGUUAUAGUAUUUAAUCCAAUGGUUAGAAAUAAUGAAAAGAGUUGAUCCAAAGCGCUUAAAAAAACUAGAUAGCCAAUAUAAGAUUUGCUACUAAUUAGUAGCAAGUCCAACUCUCUCUCUCUCUAUUAUAUAUUAUAUAUUAUCUAUUUUAUUAUUUGAUUUAUUUAAUUAUUAUUUUGAAAAAUUUGGAGAUGUGUUCCGCUCCGGCUAUUCGUUGUAUAAAAAUUUCACUGUCAAUAAGGCAGAAAGAAACAAAACGUGCUACUAAUUGCAAACCACAUAAAUGCCACUUGUAAGAAUCAAUGCUCAAACUGAGCCGAUGACCAAACGAGUUUUUUAUAUCAAAAUAAAUGCAAAAUCACAUAGAAAGUAAAAUUUACCAACUUUUUAAAUUACAUCGACCGUCCUAGAGCAAGUGCAAAGAGGCUUGGUGGUCGUUACCAGACUUAAGUUGUAACCUAGUGAUUCUUUUAUUUCUAAAUAAAAUAAUGAAGCGGGUGAAAAGUGCUAUCCUACUCUCUAAAAAAAAAAAAAAAAAAAAAAAAAAAAAAAACUUUUAAAAUCACAAAAAAUACAAAUAAGUGCUGCAAAACCAAAGGGGUACUAUCUAAAUUGAAAAAAAAAAACAGAAUUUUAGUGAGAAAAGUAAAAAUAAAGAGCUUAAACUGAUGUGCCUACUUCUAUGGAAUAAGUCGAUAAUUAAUAACUUAAAUAAAAUGCACACGAAUUUUAAAUAAAAAAAACCGAGAUUUUUCCUCCAGUCAACUUGGCGCCAACUCCCACAUAAGACUAAUAACGCAGUAAUAGCUAUAAAUAAGGAUAUGUAGGAGUAAGAAGAAUAAGUGGAUCGAUCGAGGAAUAGCCAAGGAUCUGAGAAUAGGAAUAGCCAAGGGAGAGAAUAUAUAGAGCUCUUGCUAAUUUCUUGAUCGGCAAAGGUCAACAACAGGAAUAAGAUGACGCCAACGCCGGAGCCGGGGUUCAUCGGAGCUUUGGUCCUCCUCGGCGGAGCCCUGGCCAUUGCGUUUGUCGGUGCGGCCCUCAACGCCCGACACGCUAGAGAAGAGCCCCAUGGCGACGGCACCGGCGAUAACGGCACGAGGAAUGAGACGCAGCAGCGACCACCGCUGCGGCCGGCUCCUCCUCCCCAUGCCGCCGAGAGACAGAACCCCGAGUAAUUAAACAAUCCCCUGCGUUUCUUAUCUUAGUGCUAAUUAAUCAUAAGCUUUACGUGUAUAUAUAUAUGAUUCUUCUUUUUUCCUGGAAAUUAACAUUGGUGCGCGGUGCAAUUCGGUGUACUUGUAGUGAGGGUUUGAGAGAUUUAGAAGAUGCCCGCGGAGGAGGUGGAGGACGAGGGGAGGGGAGGAAGAACAUGAUGAUUCUGAUGGUGAUGUUCGCGAUGCAGAUGAUUAUAACGGUGAUGAUGAUGUUGCAGAUUGGAUCAGAGACCAACAUUACUGCUCUUCUUGAAUUGUCUCUAUGUAUCGGGAUCAUUUUAUGCGUUUGGAUUUGCAUCUUUCGAGGUUUGAGAUAGUUUCAUGUCUUCUAUUAAGGAUCUUGAUCACUCCCUAAAGAGGAAAAAACUUGGAAAUAGGAGCGCCCCAUUGUUCCUUGCCGGGCUCUCUCUCUCUCUCUCUCUCUCUCUCUCUCUCUCUCUCUCAAAAUCUUUCUUGAUUUUUUUUUGGGUAGAAAUUGUAUGAAAGAACAUUCAAAGGUUUUCAUGGCAAUAAAGUAGUUAGCUAGUAUCAAUUCGAUUGAUGUAUUCAUAUAUAGUAGCAAUUGAAUUGAUGAAAACCAAGUUCUUUUGUUGCUCUUUUUGUGUUCUUCUAUAGCUGGAGGAUCUGUUCAGCUCUCUCUCUCUCUCUCUCUCUCUCUCUCUCUCUCUCUCUCUCUCUCUCUUAUUCCUUACAUAAUAUAUAUAAGAGUUUCUUUGUUUCUUUGUCUAAAAUUUUGGAUUACAUGCUGUUUGAGUUGGUUCUAAGUCUCCAUAGUUUCAAGUGGUUUUGAAUUCAAUUUUCUUGUUCAUUAUUAUUUACUUGUAUUGUUUAUUUUUUUAUUUUCCUGAUGUUAUCUCUCUUGUAGAUUCAAGUGACACUGAUCAUUUAAUUGUCCUCACUACUCAACACGAUUAGCUAUUUCUUGGCCAUCAAAUCAAUCUAUUGAUAAUAAAGUAAUAUAUGAGUACUGUUUCUAAAAACAAUAUUAUAUUGAAGCUUGUUCAUUUUAUCUUCACGAAGAAAAUACUUUUAAACAUUACUUAAUUUGAUAGCUAAAAAUUAAACGUAAUAACUGCUUGCCAAUAUUUUUAUUCUCAAGUGUGACAUUUGAAAUCAAGAAGAUUAUUUAAAUAGAUAGCAUUACUUCGUCCUUCUUUUUGUUUUCUAAUGUCAAUUGCAAAAUACUAAUAGAAUAUAAAUCUAACUAAUUAAUCACAAAAAAUUAAAAGAGUGAGUGGAAGAUAUAAAAUUUUAAAAUUUACAUAAUUGUUUACAAAUCGCCAAAGUUCAUAUUUUUGAUGUACUUAAUCCAAAUUUAUAUAUGAAGACCUACUAUACUAUCGGAAGUAUAUAAAAUUUGAUGCUUUCAAAUUUUUAACCAUUGGAUCAAAAAUUGUACGAUUGGAAUAAUUACGUACGGUCUCCCUUGAGGUUGAGUAAUAUUCUUAGGGUUGAGUGGUCCUCGUAGGCUAAUAAUAUUAAUCCAAAGGUUAAAAAUGAUUAAAAGAACUAAUUUAAGUGCCAAAAAGUCGAAAACACCAAAUCCUCUAUACUUCCGAUAGCAUAAUAUAUAGCUCUACUCUCUCUCUCUCUCUCUCUCUCUCUCUCUCUCUCUCUAUAUAUAUAUAUAUAUAUAUAUAUAUAUAUAUUCCAGCUUUUGAGCCUAAUUCGAGCGAGCUGAGUAAUACUCAAGAUCGGCUUGAAAUGAAUUUUGAGCUUUUUUCUUUUUGUUCAAACUUAGCUCAUUUAAUUUCGAGUCAAGUUCGAGCGAGCCAAAUAUCGAGCCGAACUCGAGCCGACUUGCUCAUUUGCCGGCCCUAGUCAUAAUAGACAAUAGAAAAGAGUCUUAAUCAUAAAAAUUAUAUAAUCUUGAUUGGAUUUCAAUUGGCCUUAAGUAUCUACAUAUAUUCUUUCUUUGCUCGUUGCUCUUUGCUCUCUCUCUCUCUCUCUCUCUCUCUCUCUCUCUCUCUCUGCGUGUUUGUGUGUGUGUGCGUGUGCGUGUGUGUUCUAUUUUAGGUAGAAAUUGUAUCAAAGAACAUUCCAUGGUUUAAAUAAAUAGUUAAUUAGUAUUAAUCCAACGAUUCAUAUAUGCUUAAAGUUCUUUUGCUGCCACCUAUUUGUGUUCUUCUGCAUCUUGUGGAGCUACUUUUCUUUCUUGUAGGGUGCAAUAUGGUUAAAUAAAGUGCAUCUAGGAUAUUAUUUUCAUAUUAAACGUAAAGUUAGAAUUCUAAUGAAUCUAAUCCUUAUAUAUAUUAAAAGAGUUUUUUUUAUUUGUUAGUUUAAAAUUUUGGACAACUUGUUAUUAAUUUGAGUCGGAUCUAAGUCCUAGUAGUUUCAAGAGGUUCUUAGAUUUUACUUUUACAUUCAUUUACUAGCUGUUUCUAGCACAAGCAAUAAAAAGCUUGAUAUGUAAUUGAUACUCAUGGUUAUAAAUUUAAACUCUUCUUGUUUCACAUUUUCAACCCAAAUUUAAUUUUUUUAGAAAAAUGAAUAAAGCAGGUAGCAUGUCAUCUUUCUCUCUAAAAAAAUAUAUCUAUUUUUUAGUCACAUUUUUAAUCACAUAAAUUUCUUUUUGGCCUCCCUCAUGUUUAUCUCCCUUACAGAUUCACCAAAAUAGUUCUUUUAAUUUUCUUCCCCACAUGAUACUUUUUUUUUUGAUUAAACAGGGGUACGUAUACCCUAUUUGAAAGGAAGUACAGGGGGAGAGAAGAUCCUUGCACUGCAAUACAAGAGGUCAGUGCACAAGGUAUAAGGAGGAAAAUAGAAACACAAGAAUUGCUACAAAAGCCCAACGAGCUCUCUUAGCACUGCAAUACAAGAGGUCAGUGCACAAGGUAUAAGGAGGAAAAUAGAAACACAAGAAUUGCUACAAAAGCCCAACGAGCUCUCUUAGCUCUUCCAAACUGACAUCCAGAACUUAACUAAGUUAGUAAUAGUCUUUCCCAAAUCUUCGAACGUAGAGCAUUUGGCGGUAAAGAUUCUCGAGUUCCUCUCUUUCCAUAUUUCCCAGCACACUGCCACGAAGCAAAGGUCGAACGAAGUUUUUGAUUGUCUCGACAGCGACCCUCUGCAGCGAGUCCAUCUAGUGGCAGCAUCCCUUUCAGUCGUUACCAGCAAUGCAGCAAUGGUUAGUUUACAGUGAAAUAGCAAUCUCCACAGGGCUCUUACAUAAGUGCAUCGAAACAGGAGAUGUUCUAGAUUUUUCUCAUUAUUAUAGCACAACACACAUAUAGAAGGACCCUGCCAUCCGCGUUGCGUUAAUAUCUCGGCUGUCAAAAUCCUAUUCCUCGCUGCUAACCACAUGAAGAUUUUGAUCCUAAGAAGAGCCUUGAUUUUCCAAAGCUGUGGUAACUUGCUACCGACCACUCCGCUGCAGGUUAGGAAAGCGUAGGAACUCCGCGUCGAGAAGCGACCACUUGACUCCCACCGCCAGAUGACGGAGCGUCAAUAUCAGGAUUUAAUGGGUUGCUGGAUACUAACUCCGCGAGGCCAAGGAUUUCAUCCUGCUCCACCAAGCUGAGGGGUGGCCUGAAUCCCAGCAUAUUGCGAGUGGCAAAGCAUCGAAACCAGGAACUGACAGAGAUGUGCUUUUGCGGCGAUAAAGCAGACAGGUUAGGAAAAAGCUUACAUAGAGAUAGGUCCCCGCUCCAUCUGGAGUUCCACAUAGAUGUGACCUUGCCGUUGCCAAGAGAGAAGUUAACCGAAGUAAAAAAAGGAGCCACAGUGGCAAGCAUCGCUUUCCAAAUAGGAGAGCAACCAGCAGGUUUGGCGUGGAUUAGACGAGCUGGACGAUGCUUGUAGUGUUUCUCUAAGAGAAGCUGGACCCAGGGGAGAGUUGCAUGGUUGAAGACUUUCCAAAGCCCCUUCAUGAGGAUGGCUGAGUUCAUAUGGCGAAGGCUUCGGAUACCAAGUCCAUCUAGUAGCUUCGAGCGACACACGUGCUCCUAUCUUACUAAACAAUGAAACCCGUUGACAAUCUUCGCUCCUCUCCAAAAGAAUCCUCUGCGUAUUUUAUCGAUGGCCUUUGUGACCCAGAUCGGGAGCUGAAACGCUGAGCAGAAGUAGGUAGGAAUGCUAGUGAGGACAGAGUUGAGAAGGCCAAGUCAGCCACCCCUUGAUAGCAAAGAACCUUUCCAUCCUGCAAGCAGGUUGUCCACUCUCUCAAUUAAAGGCAGGUAAUCAGCUUUGCACAGCGGUCUGGGCGAGAGCGGCAGCCCCAAGUAUGUGAAUGGAAACACCUGCAAAGCCAAGGAGGAAGAUUGAGAGCUAUCAAGAUUGAUAGGAAUAAUAGAGCUUUUGUUGAAAUUGAUUUUGAGUCCCGAGUUUUCCGAGAAGGCAUCGAGAAUAAUCUUGAUGAUAGCAGUCGAUCGACGUGAUCCGUCGAAGAAAAGAAGCAUGUCAUCUGCAAAUUGAAGAAUGUGUAACUUGCAAUUACCUAUUCCAACUGACGGUAAGAAGUUCGAGUUAAAAGCUAAAUGUAACAUUCGAAAGAGCACAUCGACACGAAGAUUAAACAAGAGAGGAGACAAGGGAUCCCCCUGGCGCAGUCCACGUUUGCAUGAGAAGGACCUCCCUGGAACGUCGUUGAGAAGCACAACCAUGGAUGAUGAUUGAAGAAGAGAGGAAAUUCAAUUAAUCCAACGGUUUCCAAACUCUCUAGCUUUAAACAGAUUAAUAAGGAAAUUCUAGUUGAUGCUGUCGAAAGCUCGUUCGAAGUUGAGCUUCAACAAAGCUGCUGGGAGCUUAGAUGAGUGUAGGUGGUGAGUUAGGAUGUGAGGCGCAAAAAAGUUGUCCAAGAUGUGACGACCAUGAAUGAACGCUGCUUGGUAAGGAUUAAUAAGAAGAUCCAAUUGCCUUUGAAGUCUAGAUGCCAGAACUUUGGAGGUGAACUUGGCCAAACUGUUCACCAAACUAAUUAGUCGGUAGUCACUCGCCAAAGCCGCUCCAGGUUUCUUGGGUGUAAGACAUAUCCAGCUAUCAUUUAUCCCCUCAAGAUUGCCCAUCCCAUUAUAAAAGUCAUCGAAGACCUUCAUGACAUCAGCCUUGAUCAAACUCCAAUAACGCUGAAAGAACAUCGUUGGAAAGCCAUCAGGCCCCGGAGCUUUGUCCGGAGCGCUGGCAAAGACAGCCCGUUUCACCUUUUCCUCCGAGAAGGGAACUCGAGGUUAAGUUGAACACUAUUAGCACUAUCAUAAAUCAGAGGGAGGGAGAUGAUAUGCCUACAAGCUUGCUCAAACCCGAGUUGGUUGCGGAAGAAAUUGUAAAGAUGGCUAGCAAUAGAUUCAGGAGAAGAAAAAAUGGAAGUACCGUCGGAGAUACGAGAAAUAUGAUUCAGACUGUUGCGACAGGUGGCAUUGGCGUGGAAGAAUUUCAUAUUUGCAUCACCCUUUUUCAGCCACUGUACAUGGGAUCUUUGUCUCCAUUCCAACUUCUCUUGAAGACAAAGCUCGUCGUAUAUUUCCUUUAGUUUAGGUCUGAUCGCGAGCUCUAAGUCCGUGAGUGAUCUGCAUUCUUCAGCCUUGUUAAGCCACUCAAUCCAAGCAAGGCAGAGGUUGGCCUGCUUCUUGACGGACGAAGAAAGGCCAGCACUCCAGGACUUAAUUGCUUCUGUAACCUUCUUAAUUUUUGAGUAGAAGCCUGUGCGCGUCUCGGGGUCCGACACAAUCAAGUUCCAAAAGUUUAGAGACCACCUCGUUCAGGGAAGGAUAAUGGAGCCAAUAGGAUUCGAACCUGAACAGAAACAACGACGGCACAAAAAAGAAAGCAGUAAGAAGAAGAGGUGUGUGGUCGGACCUUGGUCUAGGAAGAGCCCUCAGAGUAGAUCUAGGAAAUAUAGAUUGCCACCCUUGCGAGAUGAAAGCCCAGUCAAGGCGUUCAAGAGUAGGAUUGCGUCGCCCGUUAGACCAAGUGAAUUUGCAAUUCCAAAUUGGCAAAUCGAUAAGGCCCAGCUCAGUAACAACCUCUCUGAAGCGCAAAAUUCGCCGAGAGCAAAACAUUGAAAUCGCCUAAGGCCAUCCACAAAUUGGAAGGGCGCACACUGAUGGAUCGAAGUUCAAGAAAGAAAUCCACUUUGAGGUUGGCGCCAGUGGGGCCGUAAAUGUUAGAGAUCAAGAAUUUCUCCCAUCCACCUUUCUUUUGAGCAGCAGGUUGAGUGAGUAGGUGCCCAUCCAUUCAUCUACACAAUCGAAAAGGUUAAUGUUCCAGGCAGUAAGUAAUCCCCCUCUUGACCCCUCAACAUCUAAUGUUCUAAAAUCUUUGAUAUGAAACCCACAUAAGGAAUGAAACUUGGCCAGACCAGUAAACGAUAAUUUUGUUUCCUGAAGACAAACCACACAGCAUUUGCUAUUUUGAAUAACAGAUUUAACAACUACAUACUUGGCUAGGUCAUUGAGACCCCUUACAUUCCAGAAAAGAAAGCGAAAAACUUUAUUUCUGACCAUUGAAAAUAGCAGGAAACCUCCCUAACAAUCAGCAGAAGAGGUCUACAAAAGGCCCCCCUUGUCACCAUCUGCAACAUCCGCAACAGUGUUCGCCGUACAUUCCUUCGCCGCUAUAGAGUCAGCUCCGUCAUCGAGAAUACAGCAAGAGAUUUUGAUGUGUUGAAUCUCCUCCUGAGAUAGAGGGUGAGCAUGGUUGAGGUCCGCAGCCUUGGGAGAAGCGCGAGCUCCAGGAAACAAAGGAAGAGUCGACUGAUGGCAACUCGACGAUGUAGAAGCCGCCAGAGAGGAGGAAGCGGUCGGUCUAGCCAGUUUGGAAGCUAGCCUUGCCAAUUUGAGUUUCCGGCACAUGAGUUCUUUAGCUUUCAGUAAGGAGGAUUUAUGAACACCCUUGUUUUUUGUAGCAAGGCGCAAGCUACGACGAUAAGAGAAGAGUUUCCCAGGCGCCGAACAAUCUAAGCAGUAAGAUUUAAGAGGUAAUUGAGCGCAAACAUCAAGUGCCGAGGUAGCGCUAAAAGUCUUCAAGUCAGAAGGAAGAAAGAAGAUGAUAAAAGGGGGCCCGACUGAAGGGGGCUGGCCCUAUGAGCCAAAGGCCCGGGCUGCCCCAGCAUAUGAGGAGGCCCAGCAAGAGGGGGGGGCGGCAAUCUCACCAAUGGGCCCGGGCUGCCCCAGCACAAGAAGAGGCCCGACUAAAGAGGGACAAGCCAUCUUGCCAAUGGGCCCGGGUUGCCGCAACUCAGGAGGAAGCAGGCCCGACUCGACAGGAGGCUGGUCGCCUAAGACUUCAGGUUGCAGAUUCGAGCUAGACAAAACCAGGCCAGGCCCGAUUAGCAACCCAGGAGCGGGUGGGGCCUCCAACAGACAGUCGAGAGGACCAGAGGUGACAGCCUCCUGACAGACACAUACCGAACAGCUCGGUCCAGGCUUUUCGUACGAAUUGACCACUCGCCGCUCGACAGGAUUCAAAUUUGAAGUUGAAGACGAAGCUGUACGCUACACUCUCCGGCAGCGGUGGCGCCCAACCUGUCCGAGACGUCCAUCGAUGCCGGCUCCUCUGGGGGGACGACCAAAAACUCGGGGACGUCCAUCUCCACCAGCUCCCCUGGGAAAGCGACCUAAAACUCGAGGCCUCUCCUGCUCGCGCCUAGCAUGUGGAACCGAAGAGAAGCCUGUUUGUGUAAGAAAGCCUUCUUGAGCCUCCCUUGUAUCCAGACCCAGGCGCCAAUCAAGAUCUUCCCCAAGCAAAAUAGGAUUGGCAUCCUCCCAGGACUUAAUCUCAAUCGGAAUAGGAAAAAGUCUGUCAUCCACCAUAAGGUUGAGGACCUCGGGGAUGAGACCAACGUUCUUGCAACAGAUAUUAGCUCUGAAGAAGGCGACAUUGAGACACUUAUCACUGAGCCGAUCGACAUCCCACAGAGCUCCAAAACCACUAAUAGCCGCCUUGACAUCCUCAGCAUUCCAACAUAAGAUCGGCCAUCCAUGUAGUUUAGAAGCGAAAGACAAAGCCACCAAACUGAAUUGGACUUCGGCCGAUAGCUGAUUCCCUCGCCACCCAGUUUAGGAAGAAGAUAGCAUAGGAAGGGUCUCAAAAGGAAGCCACCUUAUAGUCAGAGGGCGAGCCCCCAAACCUAUGAGCCAGGCCCCGAGGUAAGAUGUCAGAAAGGCUGCCCGAAAGCUGUCCAACAGCUUCCACCAAAGCCACACAGUCAGAGAGGAGUGGCAACCCGUUCUGAGGAGGCCUGGAGGGAAGAAAGGCUGCCGAGGAGAGGGGUCUCGCAGAAUCGAGGCGAGGCUCCAUGGAAGGAUCGAUCGAGGCUCUUCGAAAGUGACAAGACUUGGCAGAGUGACCAAAUCGCAUGCAGAAGAGGCAGCGACGCGGCUCCCUGCAGUGAACAGCGAAAUGGCCCCUUUCGAAGCACCGAAAACAACGCCCCUUCAACGAAGGGUUGAGGAUGUAUUUCGAAGGAUGGAGGGGAAAGAUCGAGUAGUGUAGAGGACGGUUCGAGAGAGUGAGAGGCCUAUUUAAAGUAGGAGUAAUAGGUAGAGAAUGGGGGAACAAGAGGGCAGCUUUAAAAGAGACGUUAGGGCGAACACUUGCUCCUCUCGAAGAACGAGAAGGGGGGAAAGGAAGAAGGGGACGAGCAUGAGCACCACUGGGACGGAGGGGUGGAAGCAGGGUUCGAACAGAGCUAGACCGGGGGGGAGGGAGCUGGGACCCACCGGAAUGGGAGGAAGAACAGGGGGGGAGAGCGGAGGAAUGCCCCAUGCUGACGUUAGCCCUAACUUUCCCCACAUGAUACUUGUAGUUGUUUCUUAGCUAGCUAUCAUAUCAAUCUUUCGGAUAAAAAAGUGGUAACUAAGUAUUUCUUUCAAGAAGAAUCUUAUUGCUGCUUGUUCAUUCGAACUUCAUUAAGAAUUUACUUGUUAACAGCUGAUAGAGUAUGUUUAUCAGCAAUCGAGAUUUUAGAAAUCAAGAAGAUAUAUACAUCUAAGACUUAGUUUAGUAUUGAGGUUCAUCUGACGCUAUUAGAUAAAAUGGAAUUAGGGUAAAAGUAUAUAGAAAUAUACUUCUGCGUUCUCUGGUGAAACCGCAGAAAAUAUAUCAUAACCAACUCAUCGUGAUAUGCGGAACGCAAUAUUACGUACGGAAACAAAUAGAAUAUUUUUUAUCGUACUUUUUCACCACAUGUAAUGCAAUCUCCCCGCAAUUCCAAUCGAAGCCUAAAUAUAUAGCAAGUGUGCAUUCUUUAUUAUCACUAACUAUUUGGCUUAUGUGAUCUUUCGAGACAAUUAGCAAUUUGGCUUUCCUGUUGCAGAAUAUAAGUCAAGUUUGAGCUCGUGGGAGGUGCUUCUUUGAGUUGCAAUUUUUUUUUUUUUGUGUUUGUAUUUUGUUUUAUUUUACUUUUAUUUUUAUUUUAGGGAGGCUCUAUAACUGCCUUUACCGCUGAUGCUAAAUUCAUUUUCUCUUAACGAAUAAAACAGGUAGCUAACUAUUUUUUUUCUCAAAAAAAAAAAAACUAUUUAGCAUAUGUUAAUUGUUAUCACUACAACAAAAACGGUGUAUAGCGACACUUUUAAAUAUAGGUACAGGUCAAAAAAAGUGCUCAUGGCUAAACUACCGACACUUUUAAAAAGUUUUGUUAUAUGUGGGGUCGGUAGGUAUAUAGUGACAGUUAAAGAGUGUCACUAUAGCCUAAAAAGAGUGCUGCUAAUUUAUCGACGCUUAUUUAAGAAUUUAGCAACCGCCGAAACUCUACCUCGUUGGCUGCGGUGGCGGAGGAGAGGAAAGGGCUCUUCAUCUAAAAUUUCAGUAGAUUGAGUGAGGGAAGAAGGGGAGGCGGUAAUCGAUUUUUUUCUUUUCUUUUCUGUUUGUAAUCAGGCCGAAUAGGCUGGGUGGGAUGGGUUGAGUAGAGUAACCUUUUAUUUUUGGUUGGAUUAGGCUUUAUAUUUAGGCAAUAGUAGAUUUUCUUUUAAGUUUUGGCAUAAAUAGGACAUUUACACAAAAAUGUCCCAAACAUGUGUUCCUAUAAACUAAUUCUGUUGUAGUGUAAAUGAAACUAUUUGGCUUAUGUUAAUUGCUGUAAAUUGAUGGAAUGUAAAUCUAUACUAUCAGUUGAGUGAUAAAUAUACAAUUUUUAAAUUUUAAAAAAUUUAUCAGUAAGUGUGCGAAAAUUUAGAUUGUUUUGUAUGUCCAAAACUUUGUUAUCAAUAUCUGCUACUAUAAUGGCAGCAGAUAUAGAAAUAGAAUUAAAUAGAAAUUAAUAUCCAAGCUCAAACUAGGCCAUUUCUUCAUAUUUAUAUAUAAUAGUAAAAGAAAAAUGCUUCCUAGUCGGUUAAAUAUAUAAUAUAAAAUUAAUGAAAUGACGUACUUAUUUUUACAAGCAACGAAAAUCAAGGAUUUUCCAACAAAGUUUCUAAUUAAUUGAUAUAAUACUUUUAAUCCUUAAAAUUGUAUAUUUAUGCAUCUUCGCCAGCGGACUAGUUAUAAUUAGAGGCAAUUGCUUAUAUACACAUUUGAAAAGUUUUCAACUUUCUGAUUUAUCAUUCUUAGAAGGUUAAUAUUGAAAAUAUCUUUUUUACGUUCCAAUUUAUUUCAAAUAUACUCAUAUAGAGUUAAAUUCUGUUAAUGAACUAUUAGUAAUAAUUGUUAUCUGUAUGAAAUUAUUAUUUUGCCCUUUCAAAUAUACCCUUCCACCAUCACUUUUUUUUUAUUUGCCCGUAAGUUAGGGUUAUAAAAAGUAUUUUCAAAAAAAUAUCCUUCUGUCAUCACCAAUAUUUUUUAUUUGUCAUACGUUAAGGGCAAAAGAGAUAUUUUGAUUGUUUUUUAAACUCUAGUAGACGUUUAACACAUAUUUAACCUAAGUUAACUUAACGGAUGGUAACUAUUAAGAGUAUUUUGGAAUAAGGAAGGAACAUAUGAGGGGUAUAUUGGAAAUAAAUAAAAAAAAAGUAGAGUUAAAUAAGAUAUUUUCAAAGUUUAGAAGGUUAUAUAGGCAAUUUCCCCUACUUUGACCUCCUAUACUUACCUUAUCCAUUAAAAAAAAAUUCUAAAAUUAAAAGAGUAAUUAAAAAUUCUAAUUUAAUCAUCAUAUAUUUGAAUUACAUAUAUACUUCUUUUAUUUUCUUGAGAUGAUUUGGCAAUUAUUCAACACCAAUUUAUGUAAUUUAUGAAAAAAUUUUGCUUUAAUAAUUUCUUUACGUAUGUUAAAAUGGGAUGAGCAGAAGAAACCAAACAACUAUACCAAUUUGUAAACCACAUAAACAUGACUUCUGGAAUCGAUCGUAUUGAACUAUCAAAUCUGCCCUUUGUCGUAUUAUAGUUUCGAGUUUCAUUUUAGUAAAGUUCAACACUUUACUAUUGUAUUUAACUAAUAAAUUAUUAUUAUCAUAAAACAAAACAUGAAAUUACAUAAUAGCAAGGUAUAAAAUUUUAAAUCAUAGAAAAUACAAAUAGGUGCAGCUAAGCCAAAGAGGGCCUGAUUGAAAUCUUAUCCAAAAAAAGAGAUAGACAGAAUUUUAUAAGAAAAAUAAAAAUAAGGAGUUUAUGUAUCUCUAACUGAUCAUGUGCCCUCAAUAAUUAACUAUAAAAGAAUGCACGAAUCUUAAAGCAAACAACAAAACAUCGUGGCGGGGCUUCUGUACAGAGGUUCAGCUAUAAAUAAGGAUACGAGUGAGAUGAAUAAUUAAGGCGAUCGAGGAAUAGCUUGCCAAGGAGAGAGAAUACAUAGGAAUAGCCAAGGGAGAGAAUAUAUAGGAAGAGCCAAAGGAAGAAGAGAAGGCCUACGCCGACACCUACGCCGAUGCCGACGCCGGGACUCAUCAGAACGUUGGUCUUCCUCGGCGGAGCGCUCUCCGGCACGUUGGUCAAAGCGGCCCUCGCUGUCCAACAAGAUAGAGAAGAGCCCUGCGGUGGCGGCGACAGCACCAGCGAUCAUGACACGGGGAAUGAGACGCCGUGGCGACCACCGUUGCUGCUGCUGCGGCCUCCUCCCUCCGUCGACAGGUUAGCUAUAAAUAAGGAGAGUAAGAAGAAUAAGUCGAUGAAGGAAUAGCCAAGGAUAUAGGUCUCUUGCUAAUUCUUGAUCAUGGCAUCCCCACCCAACAGAGACCAGCAACGGGAGAAGAAGACUACGCCGAUGCCGACGUUGGGGCUCAUUGGAGCGCUGGCCUUCCUCGGCGGAGCACUCAUUGUCAAGUUGGUCGGAAAGGCCCUUCCCGCCCGACAAGCUAUUCCAAGAUCGACACCUGUGGGAGAGGCCCGCAACAGCACCAGGUGAGAUAACGGCACGGGGAAGGAAACGCAGUGGCAACCACUUUUGCUGCUGCUGUGGCCUCCUUCCUCCGUCGAGAACUCUUCGUAAUUAAUCAAUCCCCCCCAUUUUUUUUCUUACUACUUAUCACAAACUUUACGCAUAUACAUGCGUGCAUCUUCUUUUCAUUUUCUUGGUAAUUACAACGGUGGUGCAAUUUGGUAUAUAUACAUGUAGUAGGGUUGCAGAAAAUGGAGGUGGAGGAGGCGAGGAGGAGAAGGGGAUCAAGAAAAAGAAGAUGGUAGUGACGUUGGCGAUAGGGGCGAUAAUUAUUGUGAAGAUUCUAUCAGAGGCCAACGCUGCUGAUCUUCUUCAUUUGUCUCUAGGAAUUGGGAUCAGUUUAUUCUUCUUCUUUAGCUUCUUUGAGUUUUGAGAUUGUUUCAUGGCUUCCUUUAUAAGGAUCUUGAUCUCUCCUAAAAAGAAAAAUCUUGAACGAGGAGCACCUCACUAUCCCUUGUUGGGCUCGCUCUCUCUCUCUCUCUCUCUCUCUCUCUCUCUCUCUCUUUCUCUCUCUCUCUCUCUUGUUUUUUUUUUUUGAUAGAAAUUGUAUCAAAGAACAAUCAACGGUUUCAUUGUAUUGGGGAGUAUUAUUAGUUUAACUGAUGUACUCAUAUAUGCUAAGUUCGUUUAUUACCCUUUUAGCUCUAGCGCUUUAUCUCUCUCUCUUGUGUGUGAGCGCGCACGCGAGCGCGCGUGUGUUUGCAUGUUAAUUUUGGUAGUUGAUGCAUGGCAAUAAGUAGUCAGCAUUAAUCAAACGUAAUCAUAUGUACGCUAAGUUCUUCUUCUACGUUUUAGGAUCUGUUUGUUUUUCUUGCAUGUGUACUGUGAAAUAAAAUGCAUCUAGGAUAUUAUAUUUCACAUUAGAUGUAAAGUUAGAAUUGUAAUUCUUUCAAAAUAUACAAGUUUUGUUGAAAAGUUAUUGGUUUAAAUUUUACGAGCAGUUAAUUUGAGUGACUUAGUUCUAAGUACGUUCUUAUAGUUUCAAGAUGUUCUGGAUUCAAUUUUCAUAUUUAUUUGUUAAUUGCAUAAUUCUUUUUGGUCUUUCUUAUAUAUGUUAAUUAUCCCUCUUUUAGAUUCACAUGACAUGAUUUAUUUAAUUAUAUUCACCAUACAAUAUGAUAAAUUUGUUUUUUAGCUAUCAUUACAACCAUUUGGAUAACAAAGAUAGUGCAGCUUUUAAAAAUUAAGAACAUGGUAUUGAAGCUUGUACACUUGAUUUUUGCGAAGAAAUUAUUUUUUAAACUAUUUGAUAGUUAAAUUAAAUGUGAUCUGAGAGUCAGAUGACAAAACCAUAAUGACCAAAUUUGAACCCAAAAUUAACUAUUUAGGCAUCUAAUAUAUCUAGAUUUAGAGAGAGAGAGAGAGAGAGCUAGAGCUAAAAGGGUAAUAAACGAACUUAGCAUAUAUGAGUACAUCAGUUAAACUGAUAAUACUCCCCAAUACAAUGAAACCGUUGAUUGUUCUUUGAUACAAUUUCUAUCAAAAAAAAAAAACAAGAGAGAGAGAGAGAGAAAGAGAGAGAGAGAGAGAGAGAGAGAGAGAGAGAGAGAGAGAGAGAGAGAGAGAGAGCCCAACAAGGGAUAGUGAGGUGCUCCUCGUUCAAGAUUUUUCUUUUUAGGAGAGAUCAAGAUCCUUAUAAAGGAAGCCAUGAAACAAUCUCAAAACUCAAAGAAGCUAAAGAAGAAGAAUAAACUGAUCCCAAUUCCUAGAGACAAAUGAAGAAGAUCAGCAGCGUUGGCCUCUGAUAGAAUCUUCACAAUAAUUAUCGCCCCUAUCGCCAACGUCACUACCAUCUUCUUUUUCUUGAUCCCCUCCUCCUCCUCGCCUCCUCCACCUCCAUUUUCUGCAACCCUACUACAUGUAUAUAUACCAAAUUGCACCACCGUUGUAAUUACCAAGAAAAUGAAAAGAAGAUGCACGCAUGUAUAUGCGUAAAGUUUGUGAUAAGUAGUAAGAAAAAAAAUGGGGGGGAUUGAUUAAUUACGAAGAGUUCUCGACGGAGGAAGGAGGCCACAGCAGCAGCAAAAGUGGUUGCCACUGCGUUUCCUUCCCCGUGCCGUUAUCUCACCUGGUGCUGUUGCGGGCCUCUCCCACAGGUGUCGAUCUUGGAAUAGCUUGUCGGGCGGGAAGGGCCUUUCCGACCAACUUGACAAUGAGUGCUCCGCCGAGGAAGGCCAGCGCUCCAAUGAGCCCCAACGUCGGCAUCGGCGUAGUCUUCUUCUCCCGUUGCUGGUCUCUGUUGGGUGGGGAUGCCAUGAUCAAGAAUUAGCAAGAGACCUAUAUCCUUGGCUAUUCCUUCAUCGACUUAUUCUUCUUACUCUCCUUAUUUAUAGCUAACCUGUCGACGGAGGGAGGAGGCCGCAGCAGCAGCAACGGUGGUCGCCACGGCGUCUCAUUCCCCGUGUCAUGAUCGCUGGUGCUGUCGCCGCCACCGCAGGGCUCUUCUCUAUCUUGUUGGACAGCGAGGGCCGCUUUGACCAACGUGCCGGAGAGCGCUCCGCCGAGGAAGACCAACGUUCUGAUGAGUCCCGGCGUCGGCAUCGGCGUAGGUGUCGGCGUAGGCCUUCUCUUCUUCCUUUGGCUCUUCCUAUAUAUUCUCUCCCUUGGCUAUUCCUAUGUAUUCUCUCUUCUUGGCAAGCUAUUCCUCGAUCGCCUUAAUUAUUCAUCUCACUCGUAUCCUUAUUUAUAGCUGAACCUCUGUACAGAAGCCCCGCCACGAUGUUUUGUUGUUUGCUUUAAGAUUCGUGCAUUCUUUUAUAGUUAAUUAUUGAGGGCACAUGAUCAGUUAGAGAUACAUAAACUCCUUAUUUUUAUUUUUCUUAUAAAAUUCUGUCUAUCUCUCUUUUUGGAUCAGAUUUCAAUCAGGCCCUCUUUGGCUUAGCUGCACCUAUUUGUAUUUUCUAUGAUUUAAAAUUUUAUACCUUGCUAUUAUGUGAUUUCAUGUUUUGUUUUAAUAAUAAUUUAUUAGUUAAAUACAAUAGUAAAGUGUUGAACUUUACUAAAAUAAAACUCAAAACUAUAAUACGACAAAGGGCAGAUUUGAUAGUUCAAUACGAUCGAUUCCAGAAGUCAUGUUUCGUAUUGCAAUUUGGUAUAGUUGUUUGGUUUCUUCUGCUUAUCCCAUUUUAACAUACGUAAAGAAAUUAGGGUUAAUUUCAUUUAUACACUCACAAAACUAUGAAUCAUAAAUAACCUUCAAAUUUUUAAAAUAUAAUAAAUACGCUCUAAAUACAAUAUUUCUUUCAUAAAUGUCCUUACCAUUAUUUUUUUGCUAAUUAACUUCCGUUAACUUAGCAUUUUUUUUACUUUACUUUUAAAUAUAAAAUUACCACUUUUCCCUUUAUACACUAAAAAGUUCAAUGUUAUAAUAAAUGCCCCUACACAAUUUGAAAUAUCAAAGUUAACCCUAUGAAUUACUUUGUUUUUAAAAAAUUUCAACAUAUACUAUCAUUAGUUAGGAUCAUUUUAAUCUUAGUUACAUUAUAGUAUAAUGAAGGUUAAGAAUAAAAUUGCCUAUUUUAUCCCUAAAUAUUGAAAAUUAGUGAGGUGUAUAUAAAUGUAUGCUAGCCCAUUUCUUUUUUAAAAUUUUUAUCCAUUCAAAUUUUAUUUAUUUUGAUUUCAAAUAUUUUAAUCAAUUAAAUAUAGAAAUUCUAUUAAUCAGUUAAUUAGCUAUUAAAUGAAUUUUUCUAUUUUCAAAUGCAAAUUAGUUAAAGGUACGUAUGAAUUUGAUGGAAUAAUUAUCUUACUUCAUAAAAUUUUUAGUAAUUAAAAUUUCAUGUUUUCAAUUUAUUAUUUCAAACUAUUAUUGGUUCAUGUAAUGUUCAUUGAUUAUAAAAAUUUAGUUGGUCUUUUCAUAAUAAAACUAAAUUUUUUAUCUAUGGUCGAAUUUUAUACUAAUGUACUAUUUCUUCGGUUAUAAUGUGUAUUCACAACCACAAACUUUCUCUGUGUCAAGUGGUCAAAUUAAAUGUUUUUAUUACUUUUCAAUCGAUAUAGUAAAUGAAAAGAUUACUAAAAUGAAUUAUUUUCUCAUUUUGACAAUGAAGCAAAAUAAAUAUAAUUUAACUACAAUUUAUUUGAAAUAUAAAUAUUUAUUUCUAAUUGAAAUGAAUAAUUUUUCUAAACUAAAAUCAAUCAAAUUUUACUAAAUCAUUAGUCUAGAUAGAGUUUAGUUGAUUUUCAAAUAUAAGAGUGGAUAUUUGUGAAAUAAAAUCAGUAAUUGACCAUUAAAUAUAAAGAGGGGUAAAGUUGGAAUUUAAAUAUUAUUCAUUUCAAUUUGGAUGGACACUUAAUGGUUGGGUUAUUUUUUAAAGUUUUGUAAUUUAGGGGGGUCUACAUGAUAUUUCAAUUUUUAGAUGGAUAUUUAUGAAAUUAGAUAGUUUUAGGAGGGUAUUGAGGAAUUUUUUUCAAAAAAUUAUUACAGCAAAAUAUUAUAGAACAAUAAAGGCUCCAUGCCCUCGCCCUCAUGGUCCUAGUGAUGACCCCUUCUAGUCCAGGAUCUCCCCAACCCCCGAUGUGGAACUGGAGAUGCGCUUUAGUUUGCUGAAGGGUACAUAAGAGUCUGGGCUUGGGCCGUUUUGCUAAGGAAUCUAAGGUGGGUAAAGAGGUGAGUAAUGGCACCUACAAGAAGACAAACUCAAAGAUCCAGCUGCACCUGAAGGAAUAUGAGAAAUCUAAGGUGGGUGGACAGAAGAGUGACACCAAAUGCAAGAAGACAAAGCUGAAACUUAUCUAGGCAGAUCACAAGAGAGGCUCCCUUACUUCGUGUUGUCCCUUCGAAGAGGACAUCCUUGCGUCAUCCAUCAGGUAUCAAAUUGCCCCCACUCCUCCUUCUCUCUCUAAAAAGGAGUGCUAUAGGGCAACUCCUUCCGUCUACUCGAGGAAAAAAGAGCCUGUGCCUGAUAUGAAGAUCCCCUUGAGACUAACUAAUAAAGAGGCCCAUAGCGAGCACAUCUCUCACACUGAAUGCUCUUUCUUCUUCUCUAAAUCGAAGAACUCUAAAUCUCCUUCCUCUCACCUUCCCUUUAACUUACCAGCUUCAGGGCAAAGGUAUUUCAGGUGCCUAGUGGUUGACCACUAGGUUCGAGAUUGUAGAGAGCCGCUCCAGUGCUUCCGGUGCUUCAAGUUUGUUCACUUUGCUCGCCACUGCUACGGAAGUAGAGCCCGGGGACAACCAACCAUGCAAAAAGCCUAGCGACUCUGCCCUCCCUCCAUGAAGGUGUUUGUUCCCAACUUGGAAGGCUUUCACUCUAGGUAGCAACAAUGCCGGAAUGCCACCCUCGCCAACGUCUUCGGGCCUGCAAAUUUGUGUCAUUUUCUGCAGGACAUGAUAUAGUGACUGACCUAGCCAACUGCUUCGGUGGAUUCUCUAACAACUUCCACAUUGCCCGUCACUGUGGCAGAGACUUCGUUAUCUUUCUGCCUCAGUGGGUGCAAUCGGGAGAUCUCGUUAGCAGGAGCGUUGUUUCCUUGCCGCAUUGCAAGCUUCGGUGCUAUGCCUAGAAUUCAUAUAGGGACGCUACCCGUUCUCAUAUCAGGUUUAAAUCUUGGAUUAAACAUGUUAACCUACCUUUCAAAUGUUGGUCCCACUACAACAAAAACGGUCUAUAGCGAUAUUUUUAAAUGUCGGUACAGGUCAAAAAAAGUGCUGCUGGCUAAAUUACUGACACUUUUAAAAAGUGUUGCUAUAUGUGGGGUCGCUAGGUAUAUAGUGAUAGUUAAAGAGUGUUGCUAUAAUCUAAAAAGAGUGCUGCUAAUUUACUAAUACUUAUUUAAGCAUUAAGCAACCUCCAAAACUCUCUCUCGUUGGCUGCGGUGGCGGAGAAGGACGAGAGCGAAGGGCUCUUCGUCUAGAAUUUCAGUGGAUUGAGUGAGAGGAGAAUGGGAGAUGGUAAUCGAUUUUUUUUUUCUUUUCUGUUUGUAAUUCGGCCGAAUGGGCUGUGUGGGGUGGGUUGAGUAAAGUAACCUUUUAUUUUUGGUUGAAUUGGGCUUUAUAUUUAAGCAUUAAUAGAUUUUUUUUAAGUUUUGGCAUAAAUAGGACACUUACACAAAAGUGUCCCAAGCAUGUGUCCCUAUAACCUAAUUAUGUUGUAGUGUCCGAGCCCAAGGUUGCCUUGAUUGUCAACGGGUUCGGACGAUACCUCCAAGCUGAUGACAAUAGCCUCAACGUUUCAUGAUCUCAUUAGUUUCAUAUGCCAAGAUGUGGUUGAUGAUCCGGUCGAUAUUCUGGAUGAACUCUCCAGCACAAUAGGAGAUCUCAUAGUCUCCGUCAUUGUACAGUUGGAGAGCACUGCGCCCUUCGGUAGGGAUGACUGCGACAUCCCCUUUGCUGGUGGCGACCUGAAUAAAGGAAGAGACCAAACUAAUCCUUUUGGUAGUUAGAUGGCCAAAAGGGUUAACCAUCUUGGUAGGGCUAUGGGCGAUAGCGAUUCUAGGGAUGGUGUUGAUUUUGGGAAGGACAACACUUAGAAUUCCUCAGAGAUUAAGGAUAGAUGGCGAUCAAUUCUAUCUGAGUCUCAGGGGUGCUGCCUACAGUUGUUGACUUCCGGUGAAGAUUCGGCCUUACCAACGGCUGCCGGAGCGAUAGCGGCGCUCACUAAUUACCAUAGGAAUAUUGCAAUAGGUUCCAUGCGCACACUCUUCCAAACCCAGUGUAGAGUCAACCCAGCAGUCCUCAGCGUUGUUUGAGAGUUGUACGCUGGUCUGUAUUAGUAAAAAUUUAAAAGCAAUCGAAGUGUUGGGAUCUGUGACUAAGAAAAGGGAAGUGUCAGGACCUACUCGAAAAGUUGGACCUUGCUAGGACAGGAGUCCGCGCCACUCGAGGCCUCCAUGGAAGUGAUAGUAGCUCUCGAUCAGCCAGCUCCACCACCAUGAUGCUAGCGCUUCAGUUUCCAUGCUGCCCGGAUCUUUCUCUGCUACGGGGACCGAGAGGAAACUACACUUUUUCACCAAUAGGGGUUUUGGACUUAGGAUUUCUUUACUCCGCCCUACUCGCAAAAUGGUGGUAGAGGUAUGUCACGAGCAAAUGCCUUCAGUGGGGUUCCCUUCUCGAUGGCAUUUUCUACUCCCGAUUAAGACCGCUCUGGGAAGGCGCCUCAUUUAGACCUUAUUCUUAGUGGUGGCAGAAUGUCGUUGCGAUUAAGGCCCUCUAUAAGUGUGGUAUUUCCUACUGGAUAGGGGACGGACGCAGUGUGAGCUUUUGGUCUGACAGACGCAGUGUGAGCUUUUGGUCUGACAUGUUGGUCGGACGGUCCUCCCUCCGGACUAGUUACCUUAACUUCCCUGAUGGUGUACAACGUUUAAGCUAUAGGGUGAGUGACUAUUAGGAUGGAAGUGGCGUAAGAUUCUAACGGGAUUCAAUCCUAGCUCACAACUUGAUAGGGACUCGAUUUCAAUGCUGAUGGAGUAGUUGUCAGUAAAAAAAAUGCUUCCUAGUCGGUUAAACAUAUAACAUAAAAUUAACGAAAUAACGUACUUAUUUUUACAAGCAACGAAAAUCAUGGAUUUUCCAACAAAGUUUCUAAUUAAUUGAUAUAAUACUUUUAACCCUUAAAAUUGUAUAUUUAUGCAUCUUCGCCAACGGACUGGUUAUAAUUAGAGGCAAUUAAUUGCUUAUAUACACAUCUGAAAAGUUUUCAACUUUCUAAUUUACCCCUCUUAGAAGGUUAAUAUUGAAAGUACCUUUUUUACUUUCUAACUUAUUUCAAAUAUACUCAUAUAGGGUUAAAUUAUGUUAAUGAAUUAUUAGUAAUAACUGUUAUCUGUAUGAAACUAUUAAUUUUCUCUUUCAAAUAUACCCUUCCACCAUCAUUUUUUUUUUUAUUUGCCCUUAAGUUAGGGGCAUAAAAAGUAUUUUUAAAAAAAUAUCCCUUUGCCAUCACCAAUAUUUUUUAUUUGCCCUUAAGUUAAGGACAAAAGAGAUAUUUUGAUUUUUUUUAAACUCUAGUAGAUGUUUAACACAUAUUUAACCUAAAUUAACUUAACGGGUGGUAACUGUAAGAGUAUUUUGGAAUAAGGAAGGAACAUAUGAGGGGUAUAUUGGAAAGAGGUAUUUUGGAAUAACGGAGGAACAUAUGAGGGGUAUAUUGGAAAGAAAAAAAAAAUUGAGUUAAAUAAGAUAUUUUCAAAGUUUUGAUGGUUAUAUAUAUAGGCAAUUUCCCCUACUUUGACCUCCAAUAAUUACCUUAUCCAUUAAAAAAAAUCUAAAAUUAAAAAAGUAAUUAAAAAUUCUAAUUUAAUCAUCAUAUAUUUGAAUUACAUAUAUACUUCUUUUAUUUUCUUGAGAUGAUUUGGCAAUUAUUCAGGACCAAUAUAUGUAAUUUAUGAAAAAAAAUUGCUAUAAUACUUUCUUUACGUAUGUUAAAAUGAGAUGAGCAGAAAAAACCAAACAACUAUACCAAUUUGUAAACCACAUACAAAACAUGACUUUUGGAAUCGAUCAUAUUGAACUAUCAUCUGCCUUUGUUGCAUUGUAGUUUGGCGUUUCAUUUUAGUAACGUGCAACACUUUACUUUAGUAUUUAACUAAUAAAUUAUUAUUAUCAUAAAACAAAACAUGAAAUCACAUAAUAGCAGGGUAUAAAUGUAGUGUUCCAGAGGUUUGGAUAGGAUUGGCUACAGUAUUAGUGACUGGUCGACACCUCUGGAGAGUGUCGGACUGAGUCGUAGUCGUUUCUGCACGAAAUGGAUGCAGAAAUGGACUCGGCGCACUCAAAGAAGCAAAACUGGAGUUUUGCCAGUUUCGGGCGCCCAGAAUAAGGUUUGGGUCGCCCAAAACUCGAAUGCUGAACUGAGCAGAACUGGAAGCCAAUUCGGAUCCUAAUUUCGAGCGCCCAGAAGUGGGUCCGAAAAUUUCACUUCAUGAGUAUCGUUUGCGCUGAUACAUGGCUGGUCGUAGGUGAGGUCCGCCGGAGCCGGAUAUGGGCGUAGCACACCACGGGCGGAGGAACCGAAGGGGAUAUUUUGUGCAGCCUGGAGAUUUCGGACGCCCAGAACAUGGUUUCCGGCGCCCGAAAAUGUGCAUUUCUGCAGGGGCAGCAGAUUGGAAAUGUUUGCUCUUGAGGCUUAUUUCAUCCCUUCAACACCCUAUAAAUAGGUAGUGUUCGACCACAGUGAAGCCUUUUCGUUCCUUCUUCACAGAGAAGCUCAAUUUUGCAUCUAAGUCCCUCAAACUACUCCAAAUUUUAUGUUAUAUUUGGUUUAGAUUUGUAGUUAUCUAAAUUGAAGUUAAAUCCUAAUCUAUUUGGGAUUGGAUAUAAUUUAGAUUUAAUUUGACAUAUAUGGAUUAUAAUUAAUUAGGAGUGUAAUUCUAAUCUAAUUAGAAUUAGACUCUAGUUAGGAGACAUGUAUUAUAUAUACAUGCUACGGCCAAGUUAAUGAUGUCGCGACAAAAAUUAAGAAGCCAUGCAAAUUAAUUAACAGCGGUUGGUAGUCCGUACGGAUGGAGAAGCCGGAUCUCUAAUUAAGUGUUGCAUAUUUUAGAGAGAGCUAGCCAAGCUGCCGCGCGCUAAUUAGCCGUGCGCUAAUUAAGGGCUUUUGGAGCGAGAACCCUCGUGCAUGGAGUUCCGUACGGAAGGAGCCGCAUUCUUAUUUCCAUGCUAAUUAAUUAAGGAGGGUUGAUUCUUGUGUUCUUGGCAUAUUAACUUCGUCCGUACGAUCAAGAGAGUCGAUCAGGUUUGAGGUCUUUCCUACGACGCGCCUUUCAUCAGUUUUUCGAUCUAAUUAAGUUUUGGUCUUCGAGAGAUCUUUUUUUGUACUCCGCCUUUUCGACAUUAAUAAAGUAUUUGCUCCGUCUUCGCCCGUGGACGUAGGCUGUUGGCCGAACCAUGUAAAUAUCGGUGUGCUCUUUCCUUAUCUUUUCGUUUCCUACAUUAAACUAUUUUCUGGAUCUAUUUUUCGCCGUUCCGAUUUUAACAUUUUACAAUUCCAAGCUUAAGGAGUGCUGAUUCUGCAGAUUUUCAGCAGCGAUCUACGGCAUUUUGGCUCGUAUGCGACGUAGGAAGUUCCGUUUGCUGUGAAACUUGGUUUGGUGGAUCCUGGACUUCAAGAGGAAUUCAUGGAGCCCAUUUUGGCAGAAUUUGAUUGAGGUUAGUUUGGUCAAAUUGCUGUUUUUCUGUGCUGCAGUAUUGAUGCUGAAAUUUGAGUUUUGUGGAUUUUCAAGAUGCAAUCUUUGGAGGAAGCUGGAUUUUGGACCUGAGGGUGAUUCUCCAUCUUAGUACACAGGUUUUGAAACCUUGCUUCACCAGAUUUGAAGAUCGAAAGGUGAAAUUGACAUUGAGAUUGAAGGAAUUUGAGCGUAGGGGCUAAAUUUUAGUAUAUUGAUAGCUUUAUUGGUAUUGUUGUUUUAGUUCUUGGAGAAUCCUUGCUGCUGGUCCAGGGAUGGUUUCGGUUGUGUAUUCCAGCGGCUUCGCGACUUCUAGCUAUGUCGUGGAUUAGCGUUAGAGGUAGGAUAAUGUUAUGCUUACCGUAUUUUGCGGAUUUCCUCCUAAGUUGUAUGUUGUCAGCAUGAAUGUUGGUUAUCAUGUAUCGUGCUAAUUAGCUCAAGUAAAUGGAUUUGCAUGUUUAGCGAAUCUGAAUGUUGGAGCUUAAAUGUUAGUUAAAUAUACAUGCUGGACUUGAAAAUUGACUUAGAAGAAAACUGGCGUUUCUACACUGUCACAUGUUAAAACUACCAUAUUUAGCUCUAGGAGCCGUAGUUGUUUUGUAUCACUGCAGUAUGAGAGCAGUGGAUAGUCAGGAUAGUGUAGAUUGUAUUUACGCUCGUACUGAGAUGCCGAGCUUAUUUUUAAGUAGUGUUUAGACUAUUCCGGACUGUCGGGUGCUGUUGAGGUUAACGGUGACCCAGAUUGCUGUUUUUGCAUCAGAUUGUGCCAAGGGCACAUGAGUUUGGUUGUUAGACCAGUGUGACCCUGAUUACUUGGAUCAUAGUCUGUGAGAGCCUGAUUGAGCUCAACAAAGACACGCUUGCAUACUCAGUUGGAUAACGCCCACAAGUGCCACUCCGGAGUCGGGCUUUGUGCGUUUGCGUUGGUAUCUUUUUAUUCUGGUUGGACUUGCUCUCCACAGACUGCUUAGCGUGGAGAUAGCUAUAUAACUUCGACAGGCGGGACGGUUGUGCUCACAGUCCCUGGGACGGGUAUAUUUACAGUCCCUAGUGAGAUUGGGUCAGAGAUGGCUUUGUUUUACAGAUUGUUAGUGCUGGAUCAUAAUAGUAUAGUGGCAUGUAGCUGUAGAUUAUUUUCAGUUUCCUUACUAUUGUUGUAUAUCCCUUCUGUAGAUUUAGUGGGUGAGCCGUUGAGGUCGGUAGCGGUAUCCACUGAGGACUACUUCUUUUUGCAGUAAUUCUCAUGCCCAGUUGUGGAUCUUUUGCAAAGCCCUUCCAGACGAGUCGCAGAGCUAGAGGAGUACCAGCUACAGGUAGUUGUAGUUUUUGGUUCUUUACAUACGAAUGUUGUACCUCGCUGGAGCGAGUAUUUUUGUACCCGAAUACUAUGUAUGUAUUGAACCACUGUUAUUAUAUGUUUUACUUUUCCUAACAGCUCUAUACUACUGGUUGUAGUGUUGUAUGAUUACAAGUACAGCUUCGUUUCAUAUAUAGAAAAAAUUCCUUUGUAUACGGCGGAUUUGUCGACGUGCUCGGAAAAACGAGUAAUCCGGGACGUAACAAUAAAUUUUUAAAUCAUACAAAAUACAAAUACGUGCAGCUAAACCAAAGAGGGUCUAUUGAAGUCUUAUACAAAAAAACAAAAAAGAGAGAGAGAGAAUUUUAGUAAGAAAAAUGAAAAUAAGGAGUUUAUAUAUCUCAAACUGAUCAGGUGCCUAUUUCUAUUUUAAUCAAUAAUUAAUUAACUAAAAAUGCACGAAUCAUAAAGCAAGCAACAAUAGGUCGUGGCAAGGCUUCUAUAGCUAUAAAUAAGGAUAGGAGUGAGAUGAAUAAAUUAAGUGAUCGAUCGAGGAAUAGCUUGCCAGGGAGAGAAUAUAUAGGAAUAGCCAACGGAGAGAAUAUAUUGGAAGAGCCAAAGGAAGAAGAGAAGGCCUACGCUGACACCUACGCCGAUGCCGACGCCAGGACUCAUCAGAAUGCUGGUAUUCCUCGGCAGAGCGCUCUCCGGCACGUUGGUCGAAGCGGCCCUUGCUGUCCGACAAGAUAGAGAAGAGCCCUGCGGUGGCGGCGACAGCACCGGCGAUCAUGACACGAGGAAUGAGAAGCCGUGGCGACCACCGUUGCUGCUGCUGCUGCCUCCUCCCUACGUCGACAGGUUAGCUAUAAAUAAGGAGAGGAGUAAGAAGAAUAAGUUUCUGUUUUUUUUUUGAGAAAUAGGUAGCUUGGAAUACGUUUUUUUUUUUUUUUUUUAAGAAAUGAGUAGCAAGCUACCUGCUUCAUUCAUUAAGCGAAAUGAACUAAGCGUACAUGAUGGAGACAACUAGGACCUCCUAAAAGAGCCGAAAAAAUACAAGAAAGAAAAUCCAAAAUAAAGAACCCUACACCUACCGAUUAGACAAAGUAAACAAGAAAAGCGGGGUGGAUAACGAAAAGGAAGAAGUGGGGACCGAGCAUGAAGGAAGGGACACGUAAGGGUCAAAGGACUCCGUUCCAGGCAUUGGUCAAAGAAGCGACACUUUCAAGAGCCCGGGUAGCAUUGGGAAGCACCUUGCGGAAGAUAGUAUUGUUGCGCUCCGUCGAUGUAGCUAGACCUCUAGUUAUGAAGCGCCAUCUCCACCCUUUUUCAUUCCAGCAUUGUGCAACAGCGAUCUCCUUAUUUGCGAUGCUGGAGUAUACUCCUGAAAACCGAGUACUCAGAGGGGUUUCUUCAAUCCAAAUAUCUGACCACAUCUUGAUGUUUUUUCCAUCGCCGAGCACAUACAAAACGCCACAUUUGAACGCCUCUCGACAUCUCAUCACACUUCUUGAUCAUGGUAUAGGUCUCUUGCUAAUUCUUGAUCAUGGCAUCCCCACCCAACAGAGACCGGCAACGGGUCAUUUCUGAAAAGUAUCAUUAUACAAAACACCACGUCAAAUUUAUGUGUAUUCUUAUACAAAACACCACGUCAAAUUUAUUAAAUAAAAUAUCAUGCCUCACCUAGGCACAACCGCGAACAGCGACGGCAGAGUAGGAAAUGUAUUCCAGGAAAUCACAUAAAAGGGGACUUGGAAGUCAUACUAUCGCACAUAAUUAAGUUAGAAAAAUGUACAGAUCGAGGGUCCCUGUGCUAUGCCGAUAAUAUCGUGACAGCUUACCAAAACUAUAUUUCAGUUAUUAAAUUUUCUCAUCUAUUACAAUUUCAUCAUCAAAAUCCAAACUUGGUUCGUAUAAUCACCUCUUUAAUCCAAUUUUAAGCACCUUGGGGGCGAAAAAAAGAAGAAAAGAAAAGAAAAAUAAAAAUUAUAGGAGGGAUAAAAAUUAAAUCGUCAUUUUUGCUAGAAACCUCUAGAUUUUUCUUGAUGGUCAGAGAUGAAAUAGGAAUACACGAAAAAGUUCAGGAACUGAAGUGUCUAUAAAUAAAAAAGUUCAAAAGCUAAGUCACAACGUCGGCAUGCUAAAGGUACAACAAAUACAUUUCAGACCAAUGAUGAGUAUUAUUCUUCGACAACAAACACCCGAGAAACCACCAAAAAAGAGAAUAACCAACUGCAACAUGUCUCCGACUCUCUUUGCCGCAGAAUCCUUGAGCCCUAUAUCCAGUGGAGCAAGAUUGUUUCAGAAAGCCUGCAUCGGCUGCCAUGAUAUGGGAGGAAACUUUCUCCAACCUGUCAGUCUCCUCUGAACUGCCACUAUUUCAUAUGCAAAGAGGGAAGACAAAGCAUUUUACAGCUUUUAUUACUACUAAACUUAUUGCUCAUCCCUCAAAAUUUGGCUCAGGAUGCGACUCUCUUCAUGAACACCCAUUGCUCGCUCCAAUCUAAAAGACCAUUCGUCAAUGUGAAUAUGUAACAAUAAACCGAAAGACAAAGAAAUGUAAUCUCAUGCAGGAACGGAGUAUCUACGGAGGAGGGAAUAUACAACAUCACAUACUAUGGGAAAGGAUGGAUGCCCGUGAGUAACCUUAUCAUUUUCCUUUUCAACUAUUUACAACUAAAUCAAAAGCAACCUCUUCAUAUCAGCACCUGCAGUGGCAUCGUUGAUAAGUAUCAACUGCUGAUAGCAUGUUCAGGGCUUCGGGGAAAAGUGCGCUCCAAGGGGUCAGUGCACAUUCGGGCCACGGCUGCAAGAAGAGGAGAUCAAGCUGCUAGCGGAGUUCGUCAAGUCACAAGCUGACAGAGGAUGGCCAAAUAUCGAAAGUCACGGGGAUUGACUCCUGCACAGAAAAAUAAAGCAUUUGGAAGGGGCACAUUAUGUUGGUGUUAAGAAUAUAAUAUUAUACUACUGAUGCAAACUAUCAAUUAUUCAUAAAAACCGGACAAAAUGAUGUGCGUUUAUUGUAAUUCACAAUGAGGAAAUUUGCAACAUAAAGGGCUUAAAUUUUUACGACAUGAUUAUUAUGAGUUAACAGCAAAAUUAGGUUUGCCGAAAUUGUAAGAAAAAGGAAACAGAAGAAAAAAGGUACAGCUUGCGCGACAACUACUUACAUAACUGUGGUGUAUUAGUAAACAGAAAAGCAUGCAUGCACCGAAGUAGGACUAGGGGAGUUAAAAGUAAACAAUAUUUUUGACUGGCCUGUCUGGGUUCACUAAGACUUAACUCCAUAUCAUGCUGAGAUGCAGUCCAACCAGGCUCAUAAGCUUCAAGAAACCCAAGCUUUGCUUUGUUGGGAAGAUCAUGGGGAUGAACAAAAGGAACACCAGGUGGCCAUCCUAUCUCCAUUCUAGUGCUACCACAUGGGCUGUCUAGCGCCUGUAUGUGGCCCUCACAUUCCUUGAGAUUACAAAAUCUCAGUUUGAUGCCUUUCUUGUCUGCAAUCUCCUGAACCCGCUCCUUUAAAACCCUUUGAGCCUCGAGACGCAAUCUUUUGGAUGGGGGCAGAGGCUUGGUCCUUGCACUGCUCUUCUUCCUCUUCAUCAAAGGCUGUUUAAAAGAAACUGCAAAAAUAAAUAAAUAAAUAAAACUUUUUAGAAAAAAUCAACUGGGAGAAACAAUUAGACUAUGUAAAUAAAUUGAGGAAAGAAAGAAAAAACUAUACUAGGGCGUAGAUAUACCAUCUUGUCCCGUGUGGAAUGUAUAAGUCGGCAAAUUGCUCUUGGUGAAGAGCAGGUCGGUUGGGUGUGAUCUCUGCAUGAAGUCAUCCACUGGUAUGGGAAUCUGGAAUUGGGCCUCAACACCAUGGCCAGCUGCCCUCAUCUCUGAGCAGCUUAAACUCGCCAUGGAUCUCGGCAUGAGCUUGAAAGCCAAAGAGCACCGUCCAUAUAUGUUUCCCUGCAAGUUGCCUAUCUCCGUUCUAUACAUAGCCGGGUUGACAUAACCAGCAGUCGCCUGAUAAAGAGCAAGUCCAGGGUAGACGACGGCAUCUUGAGGGCCUAAAUCCCCAUCUGCAAGUAUCCAGCGCCCGUUGAAGUCCUUUACAUGCAAACCCGCCCUAUCUGCCUUGACUAUGGUGAAUAAUGUCUUAUCAAACUGAUGCUCAUGAUCUUGGAACAUCACCAAUUGUCCAUCCUCCUGUGCUGCAAGGCUGUGAUGCUGCGCUUCUUGGAAAGAAGGCCUCGAGUGGCAGCAUACCGAAAGAACUGAAGAAGAUAUUUCUCUGUUCCUCAAAGGCAAGUUGUCCAGUAUUUCAGUAAAUGAAAAGCUACGUAGAUUCAGAGAAAAGCUAAUAGCAUCCAGAAUAUCUCGAGCGACUUUCCCGAGCACUGCAAAUAUGUCAGGCAGACCAGCCGGGGGAAAUUCCAUAGCACCGCUGGGCUCUGUUGGAGUAAGACCAGGCCUGUAGUCAUAUGUUUCUAGCCAAAGUUGAGGGUCUGUAUAGUAACCUGAGGUCUUGCACCACUCUCGAGAGUCGUUUGUAUGAACCAUCUCGCCCGAAGGGUACGCAUGCUGAUGGAAAAAGAGACGAGCUGACUCCAAACCAGACCUUAACAGAGCACCGUCGCUAGACGGCAAUUGAACAAUUGCAGCUGAAUAUUGAGCAAGAGACUGUGUUAGAGUUGUUACUGAGAUCUUGUAAGAAUCAGAAGGAAGCCCCUCACAAGCAACAAGAUCGGCAAGCCUCACUCGACCAAGGGAUGGAAUAAUUUGUCCCGCCAUGGCACCCAUUUAAGAUCUCCAAUAACUCACUAGUCUGCCAAGAUGACAGAGUUUUUUAGAUUGCAUCGAAUUGUGAAAACAUAGAUAAGAAAACUAAAAGAAACUGGAGCAUAUGGAGAAUGCUGGUUCAAGUGUUUGAAUAUUGAGCUUCUGUGGAAAAUAAAUUCUCCUAGGACACAUGUAUAAAACAUAUAUGAAGAUACAUACAUGCAUGUUAACACACAUAUAUACAAAUGUACCAACCAUCAAUGGAAAAGGGCAAUAUAAAGAAUACUAUCAAGUGGGCUUGACUUAGGGCCUGUUUGGUAGUGAGGGCCACCAAACGCUAUAGGCCCAAAGAAGUUGGAGCACAGGCAUACAGAGAUAUGCUUCUCCGUCUUCCAAUUAGGGCUGGCAAAUGAGCGAGCCAGCUCGUGUUCGACUCGUGUUCGGCUCGAUAUUCGGCUCGCUCGAGCUCGGCUCGAAUUAAUUUCAAGCAAGCUUGAGCCUAAAUUUAGGCUCGGAAUUAAUUUCAAGUCGAGCUUGAGUANAAAUGGAAGUCCUGGAGACUUGAACUCAAUAACACCAGGUGACCAACAAUUCACCAUCCAUCGUCACUCUAAACCCCACACAUAACAAAGAAUGAGGUAAGGCGAGAAGGAAGGUAAAAAAGAUAUCCAUUCUCAAUCUAAGCCGUAAGGAUAACAAACAAUGAAAAAAAUAGAAAUCGAAGACUUGAAGAGAUAGAAUCUACAAAACAGACGAGUAAGAAUGGGAAAGGAAGGAAUAAAAGGACAAUGAUCAGAAAAAGAUAAUAUAGGAAUGGAAAAAUUAACCAUGUAUGAGAAGAAGGCCGUGUAUGAAAAGAAGAAGAAGAAGAAAGACAAGAAGCAGAGUAUCCUCCUUAAAAAGAUGGAAGGGAAUCACAAAUAUAUUUUGUUAGCCAGUGAAAACAACAAACAUUGGACAAUCUAAGAAAACAAAGAUAUUGGAAAGAACUAGUUGAAAUAGCAAUUUUAUACACUGAUCUCAAUAAGUUACAAAACCUAAAGGAGGUAUAGAUUGGGUAAGGCGGGUUUGCUUUCAAAUAAUACCAGUACAUGGGUUAAAACAUACCCAACCCAAUUUGAUUUGAGUGAAGGGAAAAUCCAGACCUGACAACAUACCCAACCCGAUUUGAUUUGACUCGAGUGAAGGAAAAAUCCAAACCUAACUGUCCAUUGAGUCACCCAAAAUUUCUGCAACAAUUACUCACAUGACAACAUAACCUUAAGUUGUUGACCUAUUUAAGCCAAAGAGAUAUGUUUUAUUUUAGCACAUAUAUAUGUUUGGCCCAACAUGAUACAAUCAACCGUUUACUGCCCUCAUUCAAAAGCAGAGGUGCCAUAACUCAAAUGAGGUCAUAAGCUAAAUCUAGAUCUGACCCAAAAAACUUAUAGACUUGGGAUGACCCAAACCCAAAUUAAAUAUAUGGCUAGGUGAGACCGUAAUUGGUUGGUCAAGUUGGGUGAAAGAUUGCCACCUCUAACAACAACCAAAUAAGUAUUUGCACUAUAAUUGAUUAAGCAAUCAGACUAAGGAUAUUUAACAAAUAGAAAUCUAUGCGUAAGAAAAUGUAUAGGAUACGGAAGAACAAGGUUCCAAAAGACAAGAAAAAGAAAUAAGACAAUAGCAAAGUUGCAAGAUGAUAGUAUGAACAAGUUAAAAUAAAAGAAAAGUAGCUAAGAUUAAAGAGCAGAAAAAACAAGUAGUGCAAAACCCAUCAUUAACUAACAAUAAAAUGAAGAAAAAGAAAAUUUGUUGAACAAGGAAAAGAAGAAAGAAGAGAUAGAAAUAGAAUAACAAAAAUAGAGGAACUGGUUUGAUACAAACAUUACAGGGUAAGAUAUGCAAUAGCAUGAAACUAGACAGAAGGCAAGAGAAAGUAUAAGAAACAUUAGAAGUAUAACAAAUCAAGUGAAAGACAAUCAUUUGUAAAGCUAAUGAAGAAAAUUUUAUGUGGACAUUAUAAGGUAAACAGUCUAUUGUAUAAAUGAUUGUUCAUAAGAAAAUUUCGAAUACACAACUUUUACAUGAAAAGGUGAAUAAGGUACAAAUCAAA